rnacentral:snoRNA from 1 species
UCUAUAUGAUGAUCAUCUUAUGAAUUUGCAAUGCCGACAAUCACCAAUCAAUGUGAGAUUGGAUGUUGACUAUUCUACACUUGAUCUGACC